AUAGCGUAUAUUAAAGUUGUUGCAGUUAAAAAGCUCGUAGUUGAACCUUGGGCCUGGCCGGUCGGUCCGCUUCACGGCGUGUACUGUUUGGCCGGGCCUUCCUUCUUGGUGAUCUGGCAUGCUCUUUACUGGGUGUGUCAGGGAACCAAGACUUUUACUUUGAAAAAAUUAGAGUGCUCAAAGCAGGCAUUUGCCCGAAUAUAUUAGCAUGGAAUAAUAAAAUAGGACGUGCGGUCCUAUUUUGUUGGUUUCUAGGAUCGCCGUAAUGAUUAAUAGGGAUAGUUGGGGGCAUUAGUAUUCAGUUGCUAGAGGUGAAAUUCUUGGAUUUACUGAAGACUAACUACUG
rnacentral:rRNA from 1 species